rnacentral:rRNA from 1 species
AUUGAACGCUGGCGGCAGGCCUAACACAUGCAAGUCGAACGAGUGGCGGACGGGUGAGUAAUGUCUGGGAAACUGCCUGAUGGAGGGGGAUAACUACUGGAAACGGUAGCUAAUACCGCAUACCAUCGGAUGUGCCCAGAUGGGAUUAGCUAGUUGGUGGGGUAAAGGCUCACCAAGGCGACGAUCCCUAGCUGGUCUGAGAGGAUGACCAGCCACACUGGAACUGAGACACGGUCCAGACUCCUACGGGAGGCAGCAGUGGGGAAUAUUGCACAAUGGGGGCAAGCCUGAUGCAGCCAUGCCGCGUGAAUGAAGAAGGCCUUCGGGUUGUAAAGUACUUUCAGCAGGGAUGCGUUACCUGCAGAAGAAGCACCGGCUAACUCCGUGCCAGCAGCCGCGGUAAUUC